GCAUCACAGAAUGUAUUUUAAAAAGAGAAGAUUUGCAAAGGUCAAAAGAAGAAAAUAAAUGACCCAAACUUGUAACAACAAAGCUCUGCCCAACCUUCUUCUAAAGAGCGACCUUCUCCACGAAAACAAGUGGUGUAAUGCUCCUUAGCCAUCUUGCAGAUUUUUGAAAGGAAACUGGAUUCUUUCCAAGGUCCCUAAAGGAAGCGCAAUUUCUCCCAUCAUUUCCAAAACCCUGGCCUCACAGCUCCAGAACCUUGAUAUUGGAGAGGAUUUCUGUAGACCAAGAAAACAAGAUGCAGUCACAAAACACAUUAUGGUGAUGUUAUACUUUUAGAAGUGACGUGAAAGGUAAGUUAUUCUAAUCUCCUAUCUG
rnacentral:lncRNA from 1 species